AAUGAACGUUGGCGGCGUGGAUUAGGCAUGCAAGUCGAGCGAUAACCGUAGCAAUACGGGGACAGCGGCGAAAGGGAGAGUAACGCGUGGAUAAUCUACCCUCGGGACUGGGAUAGCCGCGGGAAACUGCGGGUAAUACCGGAUAAUGUCUUCGGACCAAAGGUGCGAUUCCGCCCGGGGAGGAGUUCGCGUCCUAUUAGCUAGUUGGUGGGGUGAUGGCCUACCAAGGCGAAGAGGGGUACGGGGUGUGAGAGCAUGCCCCCGCUCACUGGGACUGAGACACUGCCCAGACACCUACGGGUGGCUGCAGUGGAGAAUCUUCGGCAAUGGGCGCAAGCCUGACUGAGCGACGCCGCGUGCGGGAUGAAGGCCUUCGGGUUGUAAACCGCUGUCGGAGGGGAGGAAAUGCACGGGGGUUCUCCCUCGUGUUUGACCUAGCCUCAGAGGAAGGACGGGCUAAGUUCGUGCCAGCAGCCGCCGUAA
rnacentral:rRNA from 1 species